rnacentral:misc_RNA from 1 species
UGUGCUAUUAUACAUAAUGAAUUAGCAGAAGGCAUCCAAAACUUUACAAAUUAAAUUUAUUUGCUACGUGGAGGGUUUGGGCCCUUUGGACGCAUCCAUACAACAAAAUCCCCAAGUUGGUACAGGCAAUCCAAUGGAAAGGGUGACAUAAUUCGCGUCUAAGAUAUCAUCCCGUUAACGCUUAACAAUUCUCAUAAAACCGCAGAAAGAGUAAACAUGCUGGAUCUCAACAAGUUGUCAUUAAUCUGCAUUUACAAGAUUACUACUAUUCUUCAUUUGGAGCUAUUGAAUAAUUCUACUUUACAAUCAAUUCAAUCAACAACCGGGCGCCAUAACCAAAAUAUAAUCAAAACUGGGGAGAACCUCAAGAAUGUUAGCGCAGACAGUGGCAGCAAUCGCCUUCGCUGCAUGGAGAUUCUCGCCAGCAAUAAUAGUCAAGUUAGUGAUUAUAGGCUUCGAAUUAAAAGUGAGCUCAGCAAGAGCUCUCUUGUACUGGCUCACAAGCUCCUGAUAUUGCUGUGAUUACGCGCCGCCACGGCUUGAAUCAUUGCUCUCUGAGUCUCUAUCGGUCGUAACCCUCAACCUCGCAGAAGAUGAUGGUGGUAGUGCUGCAGCGGGCCUCUGAGGGAAAGGUCGAGCAUUAAGGCUUGUUUGGUCUUCGGCCAAUCGAGGUUUCUUCAAGCCCGGUUCCCUUGAUCUAUCGAAGGAUCUACGAGUACUCUCCAUUUCCAUGACAACACAAAACAAAAUAAAAUAAAAACCCUAACCCUAGUUCCAAAUCCCCAAUCCACUCUUCAUUACAUGGCAAAUACCAUCAAAAUUGAAACCCAUAAAUUAAAAAAACAAAAACCACAAGAUAAACAUUAAAAGCUUAUAAGAAGCUGGAAGGGAAAAAUUACA